UCUUCCUCACCAUGUUCGGCGAGAAGCUGAAGGGCGCUGACCCCGAGGACGUCAUUCUUAGCGCCUUCAAGGUCCUGGACCCCGAGGGUAAAGGAUCCAUCAA